GACGAACGCUGGCGGCGUGCUUAACACAUGCAAGUCGAACGGAAAGGCCCUGCUUGCAGGGUAUUCGAGUGGCGAACGGGUGAGUAACACGUGGGUGAUCUGCCCUGCACUUCGGGAUAAGCCUGGGAAACUGGGUCUAAUACCGGAUAGGAGCCAUCUUUAGUGUUAUGGUUGGAAAGUUUUUUCGGUGUAGGAUGAGCUCGCGGCCUAUCAGCUUGUUGGUGGGGUAAUGGCCUACCAAGGCGGCGACGGGUAGCCGGCCUGAGAGGGUGGACGGCCACAUUGGGACUGAGAUACGGCCCAGACUCCUACGGGAGGCAGCAGUGGGGAAUAUUGCACAAUGGGCGCAAGCCUGAUGCAGCGACGCCGCGUGGGGGAUGACGGCCUUCGGGUUGUAAACUCCUUUCGCUAGGGACGAAGCUUUUUGUGACGGUACCUAGAUAAGAAGCACCGGCUAACUACGUG
rnacentral:rRNA from 1 species